CCUACGGGGUGCUGCAGUGGGGAAUAUUGGGCAAUGGACGCAAGUCUGACCCAGCAACGCCGCGUGAAGGAAGAAGGCUUUCGGGUUGUAAACUUCUUUUAUGGGGGAAGAGCAGAAGACCGUACCCCUUGAAUAAGCCACGGCCAACUACGUUCCAGACGCCGCGGUAAUACGUAGGUGGCAAGCGUUAUCCGGAUUUACUGGGUGUAAAGGGCGUGCAGGCGGGAAGACAAGUCAGAUGUGAAAGCCCGCGGCUCAACCGUGGAACUGCAUUUGAAACUGUUUUUCUUGAGUAUCGGAGAGGUAAUCGGAAUUCCUAGUGUAGCGGUGAAAUGCGUAGAUAUUAGGAAGAACACCAGUGGCGAAGGCGGAUUACUGGACGACAACUGACGGUGAGGCGCGAAAGCGUGGGGAGCAAACAGGAUUAGAUACCCCAGUAGUC
rnacentral:rRNA from 1 species